rnacentral:rRNA from 1 species
AUUGAACGCUGGCGGCAGGCCUAACACAUGCAAGUCGAGCGGAUGAAGGGAGCUUGCUUCUGGAUUCAGCGGCGGACGGGUGAGUAAUGCCUAGGAAUCUGCCUGCUAGUGGGGGAUAACGUCCGGAAACGGGCGCUAAUACCGCAUACGACCUGAGGGAGAAAGUGGGGGAUCUUCGGACUUCACGCUAUCAGAUGAGCCUAGGUCGGAUUAGCUAGUUGGUGGGGUAAAGGCCUACCAAGGCGACGAUCCGUAACUGGUCUGAGAGGAUGAUCAGUCAGACUGGAACUGGGAGACGAGCCAGACUCCGACGGGAGGCAGCAGUGGGGAAUAUUGGACAAUGGGCGAAAGCCUGAUCCAGCCAUGCCGCGUGUGUUAAGAAGGUCUUCGGAUUUUAAAGCACUUUAAGUUGGGAGGAAGGGCAGUAAGUUAAUACCUUGCUGUUUUGACGUUACCAACAGAAUAAGCACCGGCUAACUUCGUG